rnacentral:lncRNA from 1 species
GCAUUGGGAAUGAUUAAGGAGUUUAUAUUUUCAUAGAGAAGAAAACAUUAUAGGGAAAAGGAGACCAAGAGAGGGAGUAUAACCAGCCAAAAGAUGUACUGGGCUAACUGGCCUGUUUUGUAUACAUUCAUUCUCCAAUUCUUCUGGGCUGGGCCCUGGAGUAGGAGCCCCAACAACAAAUGAAUUAGUUUCUUAAAUGACUGAGACCUGGAUUCUGGAAAAUCCCAGGAUGGAGAUCUAGGCCUUGAGCAAGUUGGUGGUAAGAUGGCUAGGUGGAGGCCUGGAUGACUUCAGGAUGUGUAAAAGUGAAUCAAGUAUCUAAGUGGGCCACUUGUUAGAAUGGUUUAAGUAGGUUAGUUUGUGUAUACUCAGACAUUACCUACCAGGAAUCAGAGUCAGAAAUGUUUCAGGAUUAUUUCUUAGCUUUCUCCUUUCACCCAUUUCCAGUUUUGGAAGACUUUCCUGGCCGAUGUCAGUUUUCUUUUCUUUAAAUUUUGGUAAGGGUAGACAAGAGACAUUGACCUGAUGGAUUGAGACAAGGAAAAAAGAUGCCAGGGGCUUUGAAAAACACGGAAAGAUCCAUUUAUUCCUUUGGCCAUAAAUACAAAUGUUUCUUUUGGAUUCUUAGGUUUUGCGCCACAGAAACAGGAGAGAAUAAUUGGUUCUGUUGGCAGAAAUUAAAGCACUUCAGAAGCGGAAGAAGAUUAAUUCUUUUAAUCUCAAAAGGAUUCAGGGGCUUUGAUGGAGGGUAGGGGUCAGAUUCCUCAGGAUUCCUCAGGAUUUUAGAGCUUUGACAUCGAGAGGAGUAAAAAGAGCAAUUAGUUUUUAUUAUCCAUGGGGCUAUCCUGAAAGUGGUAUGUUUGAUGCUGCUGGUGAAGAAUCAGUUAGGGGGUCAGGUCUCAUUGCAGGGUUCUACAGCCUGAGAAUUCAUUAAAACAAAAUGAGCAGCAAGAAGGGGGAAUGGGAUCUAUCUUAGUGAAGGUCUAGGUCACUUCCCCUCCUCAGGACAGAACAUCUUACUUAGCUAUUGGUCAUAGACUUGAGUAGAGCCAGGUAGAUGCAAUGCUGUGUAGAGUCUGUAGAUCACACACGGUGCCUUGCCCAUAGUAGCCAGGUGUGAAGGUGAGCAUCAACACCUGUUAUUCCAGUGACUGCCAUUUAGAAGGUAGUGUAGGUUGAUUAUGACUCCCUUGCUCAUGGUAGGACAAAAGAAAGAAUAGUAUGGGAGCAAGAACUUAAAUUUUAUCCCUUUCUACUUGGGUUUUAGUGGUCUGUCUCUCCUCCCUCACCUCCCCAGUUGCUCAAGAGAGAAUAUAGACGCUGUAUAGCUGUAUCUCUGUGUGGUUCCUAGAACAUAGGACUUUGGGGGUUUAUUUUAAUCAUUACUUAUUGUUAUAGUAUGAGAGGAGGCACAGUGGAUAGAUGGGAUGCUGGCCUGGGAAUUAGGAAGACCAGGUUCAAAUCUUGACUCUGGCUUUUACUAGUUGUAUCACUAUGACCAAGUGACUUCACUGCUUUGAGCCUCGACUUUCUCAUCUGUAAAAUGAGAGGGUUGAAGUAGAUGGUUUCUAAGGUCCACUCUGACUCCAAAUCUAUGAUUCUGUGAGCCAGUGAUGGCUUUAGAAAGGUGGGAAAAGACUGAGAGUAUAUGUAACAGGCAGAAAAAGUUAUUUUAAAAAAUUUAAGUAACAUUACAUUAUGAGUCAUGUUGGGAGAGAAAAUCGGAACAAAAGGGAAAAAACAAAAGAAAGAAAAAAAAAACAAACAGAAGGAAAAAAAGGUAAAAAUAUUAUGCUUAGGUCCCCAUCCAUAGUUCUCUCUCUGGAUGUCAUCAAAUUUUCCAUCCAAAGUUUAUUGGAAUUGCCUUGAAUUACUGAAUUGCUGAGAAGAGCCAAAUCUCUCACAGUUGAUCAUCACAUAAUCUCGCUGUUACUGUGUACAGGGUUCUCUUGGUUCUAUUCACUUACUCAGCUUCAGUUCAUGUUAAGUUUUUCCAGGCUUUUCUGAAAUUAACCUGUUCAUCAUUUCUUAUAGAACAAUAGUAUUACGUUACAUUGAUAUACCAUAACUCAUUCAGCCAUACCCCAGUUGAUGGGCAUCCACUCAGAAAAUGUUGUUUUAAAAAAAUCUUUAUUGUUUUGGGCCUUUGUGUCACCUUAAUUUUUGAUCUUGUCCUUUCCCUUCCAAAGAGCUCUCUCUUAUAAGAAAAUAUCAAAAAAGAGGAAAAGAAGUUUAACAAAAUCAACCUAAGAGACAUGGAAAGUCUAAAAGUGUAUGCAGUAUUCCAUACCCAUAAUCCUCCAUCUGGAUAAAGAAGGGAAAUGGAGAUGCAUUAGAAAACUUUAUUAUGAUUAUGUUUGGGUGAGCUUAUGAGAAAGUAAAUUUUGAUGGGCUAGCAGAAGUUUGGCGUGGUUGAUAGGUUUUGCACAUCUUGUAGCAAGGGUGUUUAAUAUGUAAACCACAUGAUGCACAUGUAGAUAAAAUUACAUAGAUACAAAAUAUCAUGAGCACACAGAGAGAUUGUGUACUGAUUCUUAGCUUCUUUGUUCGCUGGCGUUUGGGUUUGGGCUUGGACAUGUGUGGGGUGGAACUAAAUCUCCUUUAACCUGGGAAUCUGUCAAUCAGCUGAUCUAGAGUGAUUCAUUCUGGGCCUGGCCCUCCGCUGGGCUGGGUGUGUGAUAGCAGGCUGGCUGACCUGAUUCAGCCGGAAAUGCCUAGUAAGCAUUACUGCCUUUGCUAUCCUCUUCCCCUCAGGUGCUGGUCCCCUUGGGCUUGCCAGAAACACAGGGCAGCACUUCCUUUUCUCCUAUCCUGUGAUUCUCCUGAUCACGACUCAGCAUCCAUUUGGCCGAAGCUGAUUUCCAAAAGCAGGAAUCUGUGGAGUUGGACUGAGGGGAAUGAACCGUGAGGGAGCUCCCGGGAAGAGUCCGGAGGAGAUGUACAUUCAGCAGAAAGUUCGGGUCUUGCUCAUGCUGAGGAAGAUGGGAUCAAAUCUGACAGCCAGUGAGGAAGAAUUCCUGCGGACGUAUGCAGGGGUAGUGAGCAGCCAGCUGAGCCAGCUCCCAUCACACUCCAUCGACCAGGGUGCAGAGGACGUGGUCAUGGCGUUUUCCAGGUCGGAGACAGAAGACAGGCGGCAAUAGCUACAGCGCAACCUGGAACCCACUGGAAGUCAACGAGGGCCAUGCAAGCUCUGGGAAGCUGGCUGCCUGCACCGGUCCCCUGCCCUUCCCUCCUCCCCACUCUUCAUGCCCCUAACUCCCUCUCCCCUGCCCUGGGAAGCACCUCCCAGCCCACUACCCAGCUGGCUGUGUUAGCGAGGGGGAGACCAGUGGUGCACAUGGGAUUGGCUCAAAGGGAUGGACUUUGUAAUUGGCUACAGGGAGAAAUCUUUUUAUUUUUUAAAACCUGACCAAUGGAAACCUUUUCUUUUUAUUUCUGCCUCUUUCACCACCUCAUCCCUUUUCUUGCUGUCUGGGCAUAGAACUUCCCAGGAAGCUCUCCUAUGCCUUGGUGCUUUAUUUAGGUCAUUUUUAGCAAUGUGAAAAGGUUUUGAUUGGCUGCCUAAAACUGGAAACAACUCUUGAUUGGCUGGUGAAAAGAAAACGCUUCUCUCUUUGAUUGGUUUCAGGUAUUCUGCUGAUCUCAACAGCUUGAUUCUAAGUAAAGAGAAUAGGGGUUGGGGCAUUGGCUGUUACAUUUGACUUGAAAAAAAAAAUACAAAACUAAGUGUGCUUUGCGAUAUUUAUUACACAAAGAGCUGCUGCUGCUUUUAAAUUUUAUUUUUGAAUUCGAUUGGCUUAUGGUCGAUGUGUUUGUUUUCCUGCUGGCUCUAGUGGCCAUAGAUUUACCCCCAAAAAACUACAUCCACAAAACCCUACCACCUCUGCUGCUUGAAAUCUCUGGUCCCAGGGGAAGCCAACUCAAGAAUCUAUUUACAUUAAUAAUUACACCUGCCCUCCCUGGAGCUGGAAAUAUAAAAGGCUCCUGGGCGAGGCCACAGCUGCAAACCAGGACCCAGGACAGACUGGAUAUCAGCUCUGUAAGAGUCAGAGUUAAGCGGUCACCAAGAGCUGAGGUGUGUGAGUGUGUGCCCGUGUGCCCGUGUCAUGUACAUGCACACACUCACACGUGCCACCCGCCACUCUUUGUAGGGUUAUGAUGUUGCUGGAAAAAAUACAGGGCCCCCCUGCCCCUAAAACCUUGUUUGUUCUGCAGCCUGAAAGCUUCUGGCUUGGAGGGAGCUUCUCUGUCCUUGUUUAGAGACUGCUGCUGCUUCUAAGUAGGGAAAAAGAAGCCCCAGGAGGCCCCUAGGCCCUUCCCUCAGGCACUUGGGAGGAGAUGGGGCUCAACUCACAGGUCCUGAGGAUGCCUUUGUGCACCCCCUUUUCUUUCCCCUCCCGUGGGUUUCUACUGCCCCAACCUACACUGACCAUCUUGCAGUCCCGAGUGUCCUCCUCCCACUCACCCCCCACAGUUCUCCCAGCCCCUUUUAAAAGCCUACAUGUUGAAAAGAAAGUCAUCAACCAUAAUUGCCAAACGUUCUGCCAGCUGGGGAGGGCCAGUCUGGCAGGCCCCUACCAAGGCCUUCUCCUAGCUUGGCAGGUAGGGCCGGCCUCAGCUCCCAUUUGUUAAUUCUCCACCUGGGCCCCUGAGCCAGGGGCUGGGGUGGAGGAAGCAGGGAAUCCUUAGUGCCAAAUCCCUGCAGGCAGUGUCAAAACAGAAGCUCCCACCCACCCUUCCCUCCCUCGAGGGGCCCCUGCACCCCCAUCUCUCCUGCCUGCCUUCCCGUGGCAUGCACAGGACUGUACUUUGAAGCAGGUAAACAGGAAACGUUGCCACGUUCAUAUGAAGCUUUUCUUGGGAAAGAGGAAAUCUUAUCUCUGUUCCCAAACAAACCCCAAGUUUUUAAUAAGGGGUCUAGCUCUAACCCUGUGCCCAGGGAGUGGAUGAGACUUUCUGAGCCAAACAGGACUUACUGCCCAAGGGCUUGGGGCCAACCGACAGCCACCAAGGCAUGAGGGGGCAGUUGCAGAGUGCCAACGGUUUAAUGACCUCCAGCAUGUGCAGAAAGGGCCCUCGGAGCAUUCUGCUGCCUGUGACCAAUUAGGAGUGCUAAUGAGGUCGCCUGAUCUGCCGUCCCAAUUCCUUUAAGGUUAGUUAGUCUGUACAAUAUAAACCUUCACAGCCACACCAAACAGCCCCCAGACCCAGCCAGGCUGCCUGGCCAUGUUGCCAAUGGCUGGUGGACAAAGGACCCAGCAGGGAGGAGAUGGUGGGGGUGUCCCAUAAGGCUGGGCACCCCUCCCUUUGGUGGAUACCUUGGUAGUGGGUCCGUAGCAAUGUCUUCCCUACAAAGGACCAGCCCCCAACUCCAGUGUCAUCAGCCGGAGUCCCAAUCGUUGGGCAAAAGGUGAACAACAGCCCCUGACACCCCGGGGUCCCCGUCCUGGCUUCUGUCACGGUGUUGCCCGCUGUGCUCCUGGCCAGCCUGCAGCGCCCAUCGAGGGUCCGAGCCCAGGUGGCGUAGCCAUGUGUUUGUCUGCGGCCCCAGGCCUGUCAAGCUAACAUGCAUCUCUCUUGUGUCCCCGAUGAUAACUCUGACCUGUCUAUCUUCUGAAGAAGAAAAGUGAAAGUGUUUCUGUGGUUUAAUCUUUUAACUAAAAAUGUAACUCUUGGGGAAAAAAUAACAAUAAAGGUUUUUAAUAGCUUGUCAUGGA